GGGGAGCUCGCUGCCUGCCUGCCUGCCUGCUCGAGCCGGGGACGAGACGCCCCCCACCUCUCCAGCUCGGCCUCUCCGUCCAAGUUCCCGGUCCCCGGCCGCCCGGAUCCGGGGAUGGCAACCGCCGCCCGCCCGCCUCUGCGCCCUUUUUUCCAGCCGCCGCGCAGAAAUUUAGGUCAAGGACGUCGGGAUCAAACCCAAACCCUGGCGCUCCUCGGGCGCUCCCGGAGACCCCCAGGACGAGGGGCGGGGGGCUUUCAGGAUGGUGCGGACACCCUCCGCACAAACCCCAGCCACAAGUUUUAUUUUCCCUUCGCGCUGGAAGUUCUGUCUGGCUCUCGAUCCACACCGGCACGUCUUGCGCGGCUCCCCGCCCUUCCCCGGCAGAGGAACUUUUGUAUCCAUGUCCGUAAGUCAAUCAGGCUGCAGUUUUCCCUUCUCAUAUUGCCUUUCUCUGGUUAUAUUGGCCUCAUAAAAUGAUCUGUGGUCAUGUAUGGAUGUGAGAGUUGGACUAUAAAGAAAGCUGAGCACCGAAGAAUUGAUGCUUUUGAACUAUGGUGUUGGAGAAGACUUGAGAGUCCCUUGGACUACAAGGAGAUCCAACCAGUCCAUCCUAAAGGAGAUCAGUCCUAGGUGUUCACUGGAAGGACUGAUGUUGAAGCUGAAACUCCAAUACUUUGGCCACCUGAUGCGAAGAGCUGACUCAUUUGAAAAGACCCUGAUGCUGGGAAAGAUUGAGGGCAGGAGGAGAAAGGGACAACAGAGGAUGAGAUGGUUGGAUGGCAUCGCUGACACAAUGGACAUGGGUUUCGGUGGACUCCAGGAGUUGGUGAUGGACAGGGAGGCCUGGUGUGCUGCGGUUCAUGGGGUCUCAAAGAGUCGGACAUGACUGAGCGACUGAACUGAACUAUUUUAUUAUUGUUAUUAUUUUUUAUCUUUUGGCCAAACUGCACAGAAUGUGAGAUCUUAGAUCUUACUUCCCUGGUCAGGGAUCAAACCCAUGCCCCCUGCAUUGGCAGCACAGUCUUAUGCUCUGGACCACCAGGCAAGUCUCUUUGUUCUCUUUUGUUCCCUCUGCCUUCCUCUUUCCUUAUCUCCAACUCAGAAUUAUCAGGUUAACCAGGACGAACGCUCCCUGCACACCUAGCUGAAUGAGAACAGGUU